ensembl:misc_RNA Metazoa_SRP Metazoan signal recognition particle RNA
GUCAGGCACCAUGGCAGGCACCUGGAGUCCCAGCUACUCCAGAAGCUGAGGGAGGCUAAGGCAGGAGGAUUGCUUGAGCAAAGGAUUUCUGAGAUGUAAUGAGCUAUCUUGAUCUGGUGUCAGCACUAACUUCAACAUUUAUAUAGCAACCUCCCUGGAGCUGGGGACCAUUAGGUUGCCUAAGGAGAAGUGAACUGGCCCAGGCAGGAAACAGAGCUGGUCAAGACUCCCAUGCUAAUCAGUAGUGGUGUCGCAUCUGUGAACCACUGCACUCCAGCGUGGGCAACAUAGCGAGACCCCCAUCUCUU